GUAUAUAAAAACAUAAAAAUCUGUAUUUUCAGCAUAAAUAUAACUCUAGCUCAAUAAUGGAAAUUAAAACAAAAGAUCCCGAAACUAAGGACCUAUUACCUAAUUACGAAGAAGUUCGGCCCCGUCUCAACCUAUACAUCGUUGCAUUUUACAUCCUGAUCUUUCUCCUUCUGGUCGGAAUCGCUAUCGUUGUCCUCAUCACUCAAGAAUUAAUUUAGGUUCAAAGGAACAAGAACAAUAAAUUGAAAGUUAACAGUUCCCGGAAUAUGAAUAUACAAACCAAUUGGAACUAUGAAUAUCUUUCGACAGAUAAUGGCAAAAUCAAUAUAUUGGCCGAAACAAGUUUUCUUGUCGUAUCAAGAUGAAGUCUACACAUUGAAAUGAAUCGAAGAAGUCCCCGUUGCUACUGGUUUGAAACGACUAUUAGAUGUCAUAUAAUUUAGUCGUCUUGUCACAUACCUCUCUGCCUGGAUAAAAAAUAUUCCGUAAUAUACAAGUUGGGUGUUGGAUAGUUUUUAUAGCUAGAACAAUAUUUCAGACUAAAUUUCACGUGGAAUAAAUAGACACAAUUUCCAA